AUAAAAAGCUUGCCUCAUCCAUAAAGUAUCCAUAAGAUGAGUUGUGGAAGUCCUUUUUUAGGGUAAUUUCCAAUUCAAAGUGGAACAAUAAAGGUCGUUGAACCUCAAAUGGACACUGCUAAAAGUAGGCAAGUUAGGGAUAAAGCAGUGUAAGUCUCAAAUGACUAGGGGCAGAAGUACUCCAAUUAUGUAGAAAUCCUGAAAUCAACCACUAUUUCCCCAAUCACAAAGUUCUGCCUAUUGUAACAAAGAGAACUUCAGCUAAUGAACAGACUAAUAAAGAUAAG
rnacentral:misc_RNA from 1 species